rnacentral:rRNA from 1 species
AACGAACGCUGGCGGCGUGCCUAACACACGCAAGUCGAACGCGAAAGGGGGCAACCCCCGGUAGCGUGGCAGACGGGUGAGUAACACGUGGGUAACCUACCCGGAGGUGGGGGAUAACCCUUCGAAAGGAGGGCUAAUACCGCAUGACAUCGCAGGGUCCUCGGACCUUGCGAUCAAAGCUGGCCUCUGUUUACAAGCUAGCGCCACCGGAUGGGCCCGCGCCCCAUUAGCUAGUUGGUGAGGUAACGGCUCACCAAGGCGACGAUGGGUAGCGGGCCUGAGAGGGCGAUCGGCCACACUGGAACUGCGACACGGUCCAGACUCCUACGGGAGGCCGCAGUGAGGAAUAUUGCGCAAUGGGCGAAAGCCUGACGCAGCGACGCCGCGUGGAGGAUGAAGGUCUUCGGAUUGUGAACUCCUGUCGAGCGGGACGAAUGCCGUGAGGGUGAAUAAGCCUCGCGGUUGACGGUACCGCUGGAGGAAGCCCCGGCUAACUCCGUGCCAGCCGCCGCGGUAAGAC